rnacentral:rRNA from 1 species
UACGGAGGGGGCAAGCGUUACUCGGAAUCACUGGGCGUAAAGGGCGCGUAGGCGGCCUAGCAAGUCUGGUGUGAAAGCCCAGGGCUCAACCCUGGAAGGGCACUGGAAACUGUUAGGCUUGAGUUCCGGAGAGGAGGGGGGAAUUCCCGGUGUAGCGGUGAAAUGCGUAGAGAUCGGGAGGAAUACCGGUGGCGAAGGCGCCCCUCUGGACGGAAACUGACGCUGAGGCGCGAAAGAGUGGGGAGCAAACAGG